AGGCAGUUAAAAGUGAAACACACUCCCAUCUGGUCUGAAGUCACAUGAAAUUCAAACAAGGAUGGCAGAUUUCCUACCAUGGCAGACUAGGCAAGUUUUUACAACUAUACUAUCAGAGGUUCCGCAUGCGUGGAUUGGGAAAACCCGUAGCACCAGGGUCCUGAAGAAAUGUUACUUCAUUUCUACUACAUACUGUACCAACAGUUAUGGUUGAAAUGACAAUAAAAGCGACUUAACUUGACUAAUCUUUGCUCCAGUACCUUGUACAAAGUGCACUCUUGGGCUCAUCUUGACAUGAUGAUCAACAAAAGUCCGGAAAAUACUUUUCACAUCCUAUAUUUUGAUUUCUAUCACAUCCAGUGCACUUGAAUUUUAUUUUCUUAUAAAGCUUCCCAAGAAUUUCAGAGUUGUAUUGGAUAUAUGCUUUGAUAGUAAAUGAACCUUUGAAAUCUUUGAAGAAUAUAUGAUUCAAUCCAUUAUUUCUACCUAUUCAGUGUAUUGUUUCCUUUUACUACAAUUGUGGCCUUGGUCUUUAUGUCAGAGAAACUGAUCGACAUCACCGAUAUACACAAUUCUUUCAAGUUAACAUAACUACAAAUAAGGAUGCAAGUACGAACCAAAAGAUUUAUUUGUUUCAAGUUAUCUCUGAUUCUUAUUAUUUUGACAUCCAACCAUUUGGUUAAAACCUACAUUUAUAACA